AUGUUCUAUUACAGGCUAGAUUUUGAUGAUCUAGCUCUGGUCUCCAUUCUUCACAUCUCGUCGUUUAUCGUCGUGUGUGAAGCCUUCCUCUGCAUUACCCCACACUUCGGUUUAUGGCUCAAGACCUUCAAUGUGGAGCCAAAGAUGAUCGACGGGCGUCUCGCGGAGUGUGAGGUGUAUAAUAAGCAAAGGCGCCGACGCCCUAUGGCCAAAGGGUUCCUUCCCGAAGGUGUCCGAUUUAUGGCAACGGGAGUGGUUCUACAUCACCGCUCCUCGAGGCACAAAGUGGGCGGCCGCCCCUGCCUUCCGCUCGGGCCCUCCUCCUCAACUGGCAUCAUGGGUCAACAAGGGACUGGACUGGGGGCCUGCUAA
rnacentral:rRNA from 1 species